rnacentral:lncRNA from 1 species
UCUCUCCCUCCGUGCUCUCGGUCCCUCUCUCUCUCUCGCGAUCUCCUCUCCUUUCCCUUGCGUGCGUGCGGCGGUGGCUAGGGCUAGGGGCGGCGGCUCUCUCCUCCUCUCUCUCAAGUUCUCUCUUCUCUCUUUUCCUCUGGUUUCUAACGUGAAAGAGUGUGGGUGCAACUUCUGUUUUCUGAUUCUUAGAAAAUAGGGUUUCCCCCCCUCUUGACUAAAACUCAUGCAAACCAACAUGUGGGCUAGGGUUUG